AAUGAACGCUGGCGGCGCGCCCAAUACAUGCAAGUCGAGCGAGAAGACGUAGCAAUACGUUUGUAAAGCGGCGAACGGGUGAGGAAUACAUGGGUAACCUACCCUAGAGUGGGGAAUAACUAGCCGAAAGGUUAGCUAAUACCGCGUACGCUCCUUGGACUUCGGUUCAGGGAGGAAAGCGAUGCCGAGGGUAUCGCGCUCUUGGAUGGGCUCAUGUCCUAUCAGCUUGNGGUGAGGUAACGGCUCACCAAGGCUUCGACGGGUAGCUGGUCUGAGAGGACGAUCAGCCACACUGGCACUGCGACACGGGCCAGACUCCUACGGGAGGCAGCAGUAAGGAAUAUUGCGCAAUGGGCGAAAGCCUGACGCAGCGACGCCGCGUGGGGGAUGAAGGUCUUCGGAUUGUAAACCCCUUUCGGGUAGGGAAGAUGGAAUGGGGUAACCCGAUUCGGACGGUACCUCCAGAAGCAGCCACGGCUAACUUCGUGCCAGCCGCCGCAGUAAC
rnacentral:rRNA from 1 species